rnacentral:rRNA from 1 species
UCGAGAAUCUUCCGCAAUGGGCGCAAGCCUGACGGAGCGACGCCGCGUGCGGGAUGAAGGCCUUCGGGUUGUAAACCGCUGUCAGAGGGGAGCAAAUGCAUCAGGGUUAUCCCUGUUGUUUGAGCUAUCCUCAGAGGAAGUCCGGGCUAAGUUCGUGCCAGCAGCCGCGGUAAGACGAACCGGACGAACGUUAUUCGGAAUCACUGGGCUUAAAGAGUGCGUAGGCGGCUUGGCAGGUUGGGUGUGAAAGCCCUCGGCUCAACCGAGGAAUUGCGCUCAAAACCGCCAGGCUUGAGGGAGGCAGAGGUGAGCGGAACUGAUGGUGGAGCGGUGAAAUGCGUUGAUAUCAUCAGGAACACCAGUGGCGAAGGCGGCUCACUGGGCCUCUUCUGACGCUGAGGCACGAAAGCUAGGGGAGCGAACGGGAUUAGAUACCCCGGUAGUCC